GUCGUCGCGGAUGUGCGUGUUGAAUGGCUCGUAGUUGAGUGUUGCCGGAAUUGGAAGUGUUAUAUUUUACGUCUGUCGAUUAUAGUUGCUGCCACGCGCAGCCGGUAUUUUUAUUAUCAUAAUAUUGUUGACAAAUUGGUGCGUGACCUGUUCCGAUUUCGGUUGUUCGUACGAGCUGAGCCGGAACAAUAGCAGCUCAAGCUGGCAGAGUGUGUGUGUGUGAUUCGCAAACGUGCCCUUUGGUGGGCGGUUCCGGACAGCGCGGAUCGUAAAUGAAACGAUCGCGGACCGGUAAGAAUCUGGUUGAAUCGUGAUCAAAUGUGUUGUAAACAAAGAAGAGAAGUUCAACUGAAGGAAUGGUAAAGGAGAAAUUAAAAAAAUACCUCGAAAUAAGAGUGAAGCAAAAAACGAACGGUGUGUAGUGCAAAGGAACGAACGAGUGAACGACAGGGACGGGGAGAAAUCGAGAGUGGUUUUUUUUAUAGUUUGCCGCAAAAGAACUGAACACUGGCUGAAGUCAGGGGAUUCGAAUGCAUGUCCCCUGUAUAUGGUCAGCUAGACCAGGCUGAUUUAUGUUGUUUAAUUACCGCGCAGGAAACCAGUGCCAACGGCGGCGGGUGGCUUUUGCGGUAGGUGGUACGUGACGUCGGGUUUGCGGUGAGACGCGGGACACUAUGCAGCUGGUGGAAACGGAGAAAUGCUUCUUUCCGUUUUAGGUAUUGAGUAUGAAUUUAAAAAAAAAGAAGAGAAGCAGUAACCGUGCAGUAGCUAGUGGAAAGUAGGGAAAAAAAUCAACAAGUGCUUUAUGGUGGUAGAAAUUCUGAGAUGUUGAGUGUCAAGUGCGCCGCGAAGGAAGUGGAACGAGUGGCGGAAAAGGUUGAAGAGAAGAAAAAAAAGGUGCGUGAAGUGAAUUGUUGCAAUUAACGCGAGAAGAGUAGAGGGAGAAAAAACGUACGCAACAGUGGAAAUUCAAGCGAGACCUUCUGGUUCAGUUCAAGUUGCUUGAACUCGGUCAAGUUCGAGAAAGUGCGGCACGUUAUCGCGAAGAGAAAGGAAAAGAAAACGAAGCAAGAUGAAAGAGAAAAGGCUGCACUUGUUUGCGGUUAGUGCAUUGCCAAAAAUGUCUGGCCUACUUUUGGCCGGCACUUUGUUGGUGCUGUUCAGCGUCUCCGUUGGUGCCGCUCAACGACAGCCGGUGUACAUCAACAAGUGCUGCCGGGUUGGCGAAUACUACGACGAUGCACAGCAGCUGUGCGUGGCCGGCGGCAUUAAAAAGUGGGUUCCGAAAGUUUUUCUCCCGGCGAAAAAUCAAAUUUACACCGAUGUCGGUAAUGCUCCGGUGCACAUGAAAUUUCUGGAAAACAAACGACCCGAGGGAUGUAAGGUUACCGCCUACACAACGGACCAAAUCCUGCUCAUGGGUAACGGAUCUCUGUUUCUGAGCCAAAAACAUGCCCUGGUUUCCUCGCCCGAAUAUUGCGUUGACGAGAAAGUUGCUCUGGUGUGCUCUCGGGAUAACGGAAUGGAUUCCCUGCAGGCACCGGAAAAGACCAGCUCCGUGUGGCGCUGUUGUGGUCCAGCGUUCGCCUACGACAAGGAAAAUCAGACCUGUGUCAAACUGGAUCAAUCGCAUGUUAGCUAUAGCGCCAGGAUCGUAUCCUCAGCUCAUGUGGAUUUGAGUUUCCGUUUUCCGGACUGCAAAGAACAUGCCAUUGCGGGUAUUUUCAAUCCGGAUAAUCUUCAGGAGGAUACCGGUUCAGUUACGAUCGAUUCGGGAAAGAUUUUUGCCUCGCAUGAGUAUUGUCUGGAGCAGGCACUGGACGGGAAGACGGUUUAUGUGUUUUCUUGCGUGGAGCACCUGCAGCCGGAUUCGGUGCCGAUAAAGAAUCAGGACCUUCGGUUCGCCCUCUAUUCGGCUGGUCUGCUGAUUUCGGUUAUCUUCCUGGCGGCCACGUUGGCCACCGGUUACCUGGUGACCUCUCAGCAUCACGUCCUGCAUUGGCGCUGUCAGACGCACUAUGUCGCGUGUCUUCUCAUCGGCGAUCUCUUCCUGGCCAUCGUUCAGCUGUCCGGGAACUCGAUCACCGGUCCGGCCUGCACAAUGAUAGCUAUUAUGAUGCACUUCUUCUUUCUGGCGGCAUUUUUCUGGCUGAAUACGAUGUGUUUCAACAUUUGGUGGACAUUCCGUGAUUUACGCCCGACGUCGCUGGAGAAAAGCCAGGAGAUUUGUCGUCUGCGAAUUUACGAGGUGUACGCCUGGGGCGUGCCGCUGGUGAUUGCCGGCGUUGCAGCGAUUCUGGACAAUCUGCCGGAUACCGUUUAUCUGCGGCCGAGGUUCGGUGAAAGGACGUGCUGGUUCUAUGGUGAUAUGGAGAUACUGACCUACUUCUUCGGUCCGGUUGGCAUUUUGCUGUGCAUCAACUUGCUGCUGUUCGCGUCAACAGCCCGGCAGCUGACCUGUGGCCUCUGGAAGCGAGACGACGUUAAAUCUACCACGGAACGCACGACCAAAAAAUACCGCGGUCUGGUUUCUUCUCCCUCUUACAGUGCCGCCCUGGGCCGAGUCUGCAUGAAGCUGGUGGUGGUGAUGGGCGUCACCUGGGUCGCCGACGUGGCCUCCUGGGUAUUUGGUGGCCCCGACUACAUCUGGCUGGUGACGGAUCUGAUCAACGCGCUGCAGGGAGUGUUCAUCUUCAUCGUCGUCGGCUGUCAACCGCAGGUCUGGUCCGCGAUGAAACGCCUGUGGAACUCGAAAACGGGCCGCACCUUCACCAACACGACGCACGGUCCGCAGCACUCGAGUUCCUCCCACGGUCUACCCUCGAUGGGUGAGUCCGUUACGAACAACACCUGCACCAACAAUACGACCACGACGACCAACUCCCAGAACCGGGUGCCCAUGGAAACGGUCUGCUAGAAUUUUAAACCGCACACCACUAACAAAUCUACGAAGGAUACCUAAGAUAUUUUUUGUUCUCCUCUCCCUUUCGUUGCGUGUGUCGGCUCUUCCUUCGUCGCCCGAACUAGAGACUGGACAGUAUAUCUAGUAGGCGUUUGGUUUUUUUGUUGUUCAUUAGCAACAGGAGGGAAGAGACCGCUGACUGUUUAGGCUGUAGGGUUUCAUACUUUUCGUCGUUUUUUCGAAAAAUUUAAACCGCAUUUACAGCAAUACUGCCAAUUUGAGAAUGGUUAGACCGUAAGUGAGAGAACCAAAAGGCUAACAAACUACAGUGUAAUUCAAAUAGAGAAGAAUUUUGCGUCAAAUUACAGUUGAAUUGUUGCCGCUGCUGAACAAAAUAGAAGGCUAAAGUUAGUUGAUUUUUUUUUGGUUUCAUGUAAAUAUUGGUUUGCUCCCGCGACAUUUUCUGCUUUAUUUCUGUAUAUUUUUGUAACGAAACUGCCUUAUCUUGUGCAAUUACUUCAAGAAAUCGGCAAGUUGAAAAAUGUAUUCUUUCUCGUUUUUCUUUCUUUCGGUAAGAUGUUGAGCUUUAAUAAGUAAGUGCACCCACCAUUCAUACAGAUUUGUGGUAUUUUGUUUUAGAUGCACCGACUAACCGAGCAAGAUUUUGUGUCAGAUUUUAAUAACCACAUUGUUUACUUCGUGUAAAUACUGUAAUAUUUAUUGAACUGUAUUUUAAUUUAAGUAUUACCCUUUUGACGGCAACUGAGAACAAGCACAAAAUUGCCCACCAACUCGAGCUGGUUCACAACUUUGUACGCUAAACAUACAUAGAUCGCAGUAAGCACAAACCGUAGAUAACAAUAAACAUUUUGACGUGUUUUGGAGACAUUUUAAACAGCAGUUAUUUCGAGUUUUUAAGAUGUUUUAGAAUGUUUACUGUCAAAAUUUCCGGUAGAAUUAAUCGAUUAAUAACCAAUAACCGUAGUAGGCAUUGAAAAAGUCCCACCGGUGACGUGAGCGAAAAAAAUAACAACCAUGUUUAACAUUGAAGUAUAGAUAAAAAGAAACAUAAUCACACAUUUCUGUCCAAUCCAACCUGGAAAAAAAUUCUACUCUGAACUGUAACAGAACACCACUCGGAAUUGCUAGUCGAAAAGCAACUUUCUAUCAGUAUAAAAUGUAUCACGAAUCGCAGCUUUAGGGAUACUUUCCCGUUAGAUAUUCAACUUUACUAACAUUCAUCUUCAUCCUGUUAACUUCAUUACUAGUUACAAAUCUAUAACUUUCGCUUCCAGUUAAUCAAUGCUCUAACGAAUCCAUUCAUAGGAACCAUCAUCAAUUCACAUUCAAAUGUUUGUAGUAUCCGAUUCUUAGGAGUUAGCAACCAGCCGUACUAAGGAUAAACGCUAAGUCGGCAAUCAGUAUUUGCAGUUUAAAGCGUUUUACAUAUUUAGUAAAAUGUAAUUUCUUCUAAACUACUACAAAUUAGAUAUAAAACUGAUGCAUAGAGAAUCUUCACGAACCAGAAAUAGCUGAUAAAUAAACGAAACAAAAAUAACACUUUUGUGACUACUUGUGUAAAAAAUGUAUACUGAUUAAUUCGUAAUUCGUAAAACGCGCUAUGAUUAACAUCUAUACAACCGCUGAAGUGCAGCUGCAUGACCGCAGAAAACAAAUAGGGUGAUGAGCCUAUUUUGGUACCAUUAGGGAGAGGGUCGCACUAUUUUUUGAACAACUUUAAAAGAAGCCAUAUUAUCUAUAACCUUUCUCAGAAUAAAGUAUCAGUGUACUGUUACUUAAACAUCUAUAUAAUGCUUAUUUAGCAGAAUUGCCUCAAUUUUCAGCAUAAAUGAAAAUAAAUGUUCCAUUCUGUGCAUCUAUUCCCACCUCAACGAUCCAAUUAUCGCCUCAUGGGUGUGCCAAUUUCCACCUCAUCGAAAAACAAUCUAGUUGAAACGCAAUGCCUCAUAUUCCAUUUGCGUCGAUUCUAACUGGGUAUCCAGAUCAUGGACGCUAACGUGUGAUUUGUAAAACGAAUCAUUCUGCUUUUUUCAACCGAUCAAAACAAACGUAAACAUCACGCACAUCAAUGAAACUCAUCAGCUGUUAGUAGAAGAGCGCCCAGAAUUGCGCACGCAGAAAAAAAUCAUUCGAAGGUUAGCAACUGGAAUGACAAGAAUUGCUUUCUCCCAAUCCGAAUUGUAUGUGCAGAUGAAAAUAAAAUAUCUGCAAUCAACA